UGUAAUGAGAGGGAAAUGUGCCGGGUGUUUGGAAAUAGAAUUCUUCUUUUUCAGCUGCAAGUUUCCGAGCACAUACCAGGCUGCUCCGUGUCAAGACGAGCCGGGCACUUUGCGGGGACACCAGGAAUGCUAAGGACACCCCAGCGGGGAGCUCGGGAGGUUAGAGUCAUCCUGCAGCAGAGCCCUUGAAGGACAUCCGGAACCGCACAGCUGCUGCCUCUGCGCCUGUGUUUUGUGAACGGAUGAAGUUUCUUCCGAAAUUUCUCCAGCAUGAAAAAAAAUGACCAACUUCUUAAGGCUCAGGAGGGCAAAUGUUUCCAAUGGUAUUGUACGCUCUGUAUUGUUCAGCUAAGAAUGUGCCCUUCUUACUAUGAUGGUGGUUGUUGAUUGUUGAUUUACCCAGAACUAGAGGACAGGACUGUCUCCCUCUUGGAAAGAUCGAGUGUCUUAUUUAAUUAAUUCAAGAAAUCCUUAUUGAUCAUCUACUCUGGAACAAGCUGAGUGUGAGGCUCACUUUGGGGGGAAAUGAAAGAGAAAAAAAAUUGCU